rnacentral:other from 1 species
GCAUGGAAAGCAAAGGACAUUAGCUGGAAGCUAUGCGACUUGGAUGGUUGCACUAUGGAAAGUUAAUGGACCACCUCUAGGAUUGAGGAAAAUACCAUCAGGAUGAUGGAUAAAGGACACCACUUAAGGAUAAGUGAAGAGCGUUAACUAGGAUAGUUAACAGGCUGGAUAGCCAAGGACACCGCUAGGAUGGCGAUGAAAUGGAUUGCGCUGAAGGAUUACAGCACACUAUCAAGGAUUCGAUGCAUGGAGCACUUUUAGUAGCUGGAUUGCUGCGAGUAAGAAUAGGAAACCCACUAAGUGAAAGCUUAGUGGGUUUUUCUUUGGGU